rnacentral:tRNA from 1 species
CCUGCGUCCGUAGCUCAGUUGGUUAGAGCACCACCUUGACAUGGUGGGGGUCGGUGGUUCGAGUCCACUCGGACGCA